GGUGGACCUCGGCUCUCGCACCGAUGAAGAACGCAGCCAAGCUGCGAUAGCGAAGCUCAGUGAGACAGUCGACUUUUGAACGCAAUCUCCUCCU
rnacentral:rRNA from 1 species